UUCUUGGUCAUUUAGAGGAAGUAAAAGUCGUAACAAGGUUUCCGUAGGUGAACCUGCGGAAGGAUCAUUAAAGAAAUUUAAUAAUUUUGAAAAUGGAUUUUUUUGUUUUGGCAAGAGCAUGAGAGCUUUUACUGGGCAAGAAGACAAGAGAUGGAGAGUCCAGCCGGGCCUGCGCUUAAGUGCGCGGUCGUGCUAGGCUUGUAAGUUUCUUUCUUGCUAUUCCAAACGGUGAGAGAUUUCUGUGCUUUUGUUAUAGGACAAUUAAAACCGUUUCAAUACAACACACUGUGGAGUUUUCAUAUCUUUGCAACUUUUUCUUUGGGCAUUCGAGCAAUCGGGGCCCAGAGGUAACAAACACAAACAAUUUUAUCUAUUCAUUAAAUUUUUGUCAAAAACAAGAAUUUUCGUAACUGGAAAUUUUAAAAUAUUAAAAACUUUCAACAACGGAUCUCUUGGUUCUCGCAUCGAUGAAGAACGCAGCGAAAUGCGAUACGUAAUGUGAAUUGCAGAAUUCCGUGAAUCAUCGAAUCUUUGAACGCACAUUGCGCCCCUUGGUAUUCCAGGGGGCAUGCCUGUUUGAUCGUCAUUUCCUUCUCAAACAUUCUGUUUGGUAGUGAGUGAUACUCUUUGGAGUUAACUUGAAAUUGCUGGCCUUUUCAUUGGGUGUUUUUUUUCCAAAGAGAGGUUUCUCUGCGUGCUUGAGGUAUAAUGCAAGUACGGUCGUUUUAGGUUUUACCAACUGCGGCUAAUCUUUUUUUAUACUGAGCGUAUUGGAACGUUAUCGAUAAGAAGAGAGCGUCUAGGCGAACAAUGUUCUUAAAGUUUGACCUCAAAUCAGGUAGGAGUACCCGCUGAACUUAAGCAUAUCAAUAAGCGGAGGAA
rnacentral:rRNA from 1 species